rnacentral:rRNA from 1 species
UACGAAGGGUGCAAGCGUUACUCGGAAUUACUGGGCGUAAAGCGUGCGUAGGCGGUUUGUUAAGUCCGUUGUGAAAGCCCUGGGCUCAACCUGGGAAUUGCAGUGGAUACUGGCGAGCUAGAGUGCGGUAGAGGAUGGUGGAAUUCCCGGUGUAGCGGUGAAAUGCGUAGAGAUCGGGAGGAACACCCGUGGCGAAGGCGGCCACCUGGACCAGCACUGACGCUGAGGCACGAAAGCGUGGGGAGCAAGCAGG